GGCUGUGAGGGUGAUCUGUCUGUGACAUCUGUCACCCCAUUGAUUGCCAGGGUUGACUCAGCUGAUCUGGUUGACCAGGCAGGUGUCCCCUCCCUCCUUCAGUGCUCCAUGGCUGUGCACUAGGUUGAACCACCCCUGAUAGAGGAGGAUCUUUUCCUCCAUCAAGGUUAUACAAGUAGCUACUCUCCCCUGCUAGAACCUCCAAACAAGCUCUAUAACAGGAUUUUUAAAAAGAAUCUGAAAGCACUUGCUUGAAACCAUGGUGAAAGAUAUAUUAGCCUAGACCUGAGAUAUUGUGGUUUUUUUCUUAAU
rnacentral:snRNA from 1 species